rnacentral:rRNA from 1 species
GACGAACGCUGGCGGCGUGCUUAACACAUGCAAGUCGAACGGAAAGGCCCUGCUUUUGUGGGGUGCUCGAGUGGCGAACGGGUGAGUAACACGUGAGUAACCUGCCCUUGACUUUGGGAUAACUUCAGGAAACUGGGGCUAAUACCGGAUAGGAGCUCCUGCUGCAUGGUGGGGGUUGGAAAGUUUCGGCGGUUGGGGAUGGACUCGCGGGUUAUCAGCUUGUUGGUGGGGUAGUGGCUUACCAAGGCUUUGAAGGGUAGCCGGCCUGAGAGGGUGACCGGCCACAUUGGGACUGAGAUACGGCCCAGACUCCUACGGGAGGCAGCAGUGGGGAAUAUUGCACAAUGGGCGGAAGCCUGAUGCAGCAACGCUGCGUGCGGGAUGACGGCCUUCGGGUUGUAAACCGCUUUCGCCUGUGACGAAGCGUGAGUGACGGUAAUGGGUAAAGAAGCACCGGCUAACUACGUG